rnacentral:rRNA from 1 species
AGUGAACGCUGGCGGUAGGCCUAACACAUGCAAGUCGAACGGCAGCACAGUAAGAGCUUGCUCUUACGGGUGGCGAGUGUCGGACGGGUGAGGAAUACAUCGGAAUCUACUUUUUCGUGGGGGAUAACGUAGGGAAACUUACGCUAAUACCGCAUACGACCUACGGGUGAAAGCAGGGGAUCUUCGGACCUUGCGCGAUUGAAUGAGCCGAUGUCGGAUUAGCUAGUUGGCGGGGUAAAGGCCCACCAAGGCGACGAUCCGUAGCUGGUCUGAGAGGAUGAUCAGCGACAAUGGAACUGAGACACGGUCCAGACUCCUACGGGAGGCAGCAGUGGGGAAUAUUGGACAAUGGGCACAAGCCUGAUCCAGCCAUACCGCGUGAGUGAAGAAGGCCUUCGGGUUGUAAAGCCCUUUUGUUGGGAAAGAAAAGCAGCAGGUUAAUACCCCGCUGUUCUGACGGUACCCAAAGAAUAAGCACCGGCUAACUUCGUG